CCGACCUCGGGAGGACUGUGCCUUCAGGUAGACCUGCGUACGUGGAAAAGGCUUACUGAGUGAGAAACUACAUGACUCCGAGAUGGAUAUGUGGGAUUUUGAUUAUAUGAAUAUAGAACCCUGUGAUAUUAUGACUGUUUAUGUUUGUGAGUGACUAGGCCGCCUUACUCUUCUCAACAAUGAAAGAGAAGUGUUGCACCUUUUUGUGGCAGUAACUUUAAGAUUUGGGUAAAAGGAUUUGCUAUUUAUUUGGCAAAUCAUUUGGAUAUUUUAUGUUCAGUAAGACAGAUUUUUUAAGAAGAAUCCAAAUCAACAUAUCUUUUCAAAUAAGACAGAAUUCAGAGUCAUAUGCUGUAUAUGCAAAUGGUUGCCACUUUUGUGUCCAUGUUAGGCUCCCAGAGAGUCAGAGAAGAAGGACCAGGGAGUCAUGACCUGAAUUCUACGUCAAGCAACAUUGUUACUUCGUUUUCUGAAGAGAAAACUGUGACUCAGAGAAGACACACUUAAGACCAUUCAAUUUGUCCACCAGAGAGCUACUUGCCAAACUUCAAAUUAUAGGGAACAAUGAGAAAAAGAAAACGCAAGCCAAGUUCUACAAGCGCCCCAAGACUCCACCUGCUGAUUCAAAAUAAAAUUGCAGACAGGCGGGAAGCUCAG
rnacentral:lncRNA from 1 species